rnacentral:rRNA from 1 species
GGAAUCUUAGACAAUGGGCGCAAGCCUGAUCUAGCCAUGCCGCGUGAGCGAUGAAGGCCUUAGGGUUGUCAAGCUCUUUCACCGGGGAAGAUAAUGACGGUAGCCGGAGAAGAAGCCCCGGCUAACUCCGUGCCAGCAGCCGCGGUAAUACGGGGGGGGCAAGCGUUGUUCGGAAUUACUGGGCGUAAAGGGCUCGUAGGCGGCCAACUAAGUCGGACGUGAAAUCCCCAGGCUCAACCUGGGAACUGCGUCCGAUACUGGAUGGCUUGAAUCCGGGAGAGGGAUGCAGAAUUCCAGGUGUAGCGGUGAAAUGCGUAGAUAUCUGGAGGAAUACCGGUGGCGAAGGCGGCAUCCUGGACCGGCAUUGACGCUGAGGAGCGAAAGCCAGGGGAGCAAAC